rnacentral:lncRNA from 1 species
GUGCUGCUCCUUAGGCUGUCAUUCAAGAAGUCAGGCAUUGACCAUCAGGGAACUCCUGCUCCACACCCUGCCUGAAUGCAGUGCUGAUCAUGACUGCAAAGGAAGUACAGUGUGUAACUCAAAACACGAAAGACAGCGCUUGUAAAGUGUAUCAGUAUUCAUCUACUGUUUCUUGGGGGAAAAGGUUUCCUGAGGUAGAGUCCUCUGAAGAUUCUCUCAUCCUGGAGCACAGAGAAAGGAAAUUCAUGGUCCACCAAAGCCUUGAGCUAACUAACACACAGGCCAAGCCAAGUGCCUGGUUGCUGUGUUCUUGGACAUGCUGCACUCAGCACCGCAAAUCACUACUGAUUCUAUGUAUUGCUGUAUCUGGAGAUCCGUGGGCCCACACCAGGAUGCCUGGCCUGAGGGGCACCUUUCCUGCAGAGGUCCAAGGUCCACCAGGAGUAAGCCUUCUAGGUGGUAAUCAUUUCCUUUCGGAAAGCAGAAGUACUGAAGCCAACAUGAUUAUGUGCCAACUUCUGAAAUUGCUUUUCUUCUUUUUGGACAUUCUCCACCUUCCUUUUUAAAUAGAACAUAAAAACAGCUG